rnacentral:rRNA from 1 species
UACGGGGGGAGCAAGCGUUGUUCGGAUUUACUGGGCGUAAAGGGCGCGUAGGCGGCGCAACAAGUCACUUGUGAAAUCUCCGGGCUUAACCCGGAGCGGUCAAGUGAUACUGUCGUGCUAGAGUGCGGAAGGGGCUACUGGAAUUCUCGGUGUAGCGGUGAAAUGCGCAGAUAUCGGGGAGGAACACCUAUGGCGAAGGCAGCUCGCUGGGACGG